rnacentral:lncRNA from 1 species
UGGUUGAUUUCCAGUAUUCUUUCUUUUAGGUUGCUUGAGUGUUUUUGUAUCUCAUAAUCCUCUUUUAAUUCAUUUUAGUGUAUAUUUUAUUUACUAUUGUAUUCUCCAGCUCUGACUGGUUCAGUUUUAUUUUUAUCUAGUUCUUUGUUGAAAUUCUUACUGUGGGAGAUCCUGCUACUGCGUAGAGGGUUACGAAUGUGACUACGGCUGCUCAAGUCGCUGUUGAGGCAUGGGUUCUAUCCCUGGCCUGGCCCAGUGGGUUAAAGGAUCUGGCAUUGCUGCAGAUGUGGUGUGGGUCACAACUGCAGCUCCACUCAGUCCCUGGCCUGGGAACUUCCAUAUGCUUUUGGUGCAGCCAUGAAAAAAAAGAAAAGAAAGAAAUUCUCUCUGUGUUCCUCUAUUCUUUUCCAAGUUCAGUAAAGUGUUUUUUAUUUUCCUUUUAAUUACCAUUGCUUUGAACUCUUUAUCAUGUAAAUUACUUAUGUUUAUUUCAUUAGAAUCUUUUUCUGGGGUUCUGUCUUGCCUUUGGAACAUAUAGCACUGUCCUCUCAUUUUAUUUUAUUUUCCCUGUUUGCCUCUAUGAAAUUAGGUGAAAUAGUUAAUUACCCCCCAGUCUGGAAGCCAUGUCCUCGUGUGGGAGCGUCCCUAUGCAGUCUGCCUGUGCCCAGUGGCUUUGGUAGGAGAGCUGGCUCUGAAAUGGUCACUGGCCACAUGUUCUCUUGGGGUGUUCUGGCAGCCAUCUCCUUGAGGCUUUAAAACCCCUGCAUGUCUUACCUGUUGCAACAUGUUUUCAGAGCCUAUCCUUCUUUUUUAACUUUUUUAUGGUAUGAUUCAACUCUAAAAUAUUGUACGGUCUAUCAUGAAUUCUUAGUGACCUAUUCUUCUUGGGACAUCCACAUAUUUAAAAAUUCUGUACAUAUUUGUUUAUAUUCAACACUUCUGUGGCUUGGCUUUUUACAUUUUCAUCUUUAAUACAUCCAGCAUUUAUUAUUAUAUGAAAUAUGAUGGAUACUUUUAUUUGCUUUUCCGUUGAAUAUCCAGCUGCCCUGACAUCAGUGGGCUGGAGCCAAUGGAAGACUUUGAACAGUGAUUUACCAAGAGGGUUGAUGUCAGGUUAUCCCCUGUUAAUAAAGUUUCUAGCCCAGAAGUCUCAUUAAUAACAGGCACAUGUAGUGAUUCAACUAGAAAAGUGACUGCAUCUUUUGAAAUAUCACCUUGGUCUGAGAAAAUCAUACCUCUGAUAUUCCAGAAAUAGAAAAGUCUUCAUAGUGCCUUUAACAUAAUGUGUCUAAUUUUAACAGGGCCAAGCCUUGUGCGAUUUGACCCCCUCCUACCAUUCAGACUCACUUGAUGCCACCCAUCUUCACUUUUUCAUUGGCACAUAACUGUGUUUUUUGUUUGUUUGUUUGUUUGUUUGUUUUAAUAAUCUGACAAUUUCUCAUCUCCUUCAGAAGAUGCACAGUCAUAUACAUUCUUCUGCCUCCUGGAGGUGGUUUCUUUGGCCCUUCAAUUCACUUCUAGUUUAAUUUUACUCUUUAUGACACUCUUCUUUGAAUCUUCGAUUUUCUCAAACUCUUCUAUGCUUCUGUAAUGUGCAGUGCUUCCUCUUUGCAGUAAUAAUUGUAUUUUAAUUGCUACCAAAGUGUCAUUCUUGCUAGAUUGUAAGUUUCACAAUGUAAGUCUCAAGUUGCAUGAGUCAUUUUUUUAAUUAAAUUUAUGAAUUAAUUAAAAGCACAUAGUGGCUAGUGUAUUGAAUAACAUAGGUUAUAGAACAUUCUCAUUAAUUCAGGUAAUUGUUCUGGACAGUUAUUUCCCUUUCUGUUAAUCUUUUUUUCUGGGGGUGGGGGUGCUAACCAUGGCAGUGGAAGUUCCCAGGCCACAGAUCAACCCACACCACAGUGGCAGCCUGUGGUGCAGCUGUAGCAAUGCUGGAUCCUUAAUCCACAGCACCAUAUGGGAACUUCCCCCUUUCUGUCAUUCUUAAAAUAGCAUCUUACUGAAAGAUGUGUAUCAUCUUGCUGAAACCCAGGCCCUGGGUGAACUUUACUUUGAGCUCAUCAAGUGGCACACCAUUUCUUGUAACUGCUAGGCAUUUUCUCUCCCUCUCUCUCUCUUUCUUUCUUUCUUCCUUCCUUUCUUUCUUUCUUUUACACACACACACACACACACACACACACACACAGACACACACUUUUCUUAAGGUUUUAUCUGAAUCUCAUGUAAUCUUUGAAAUCUUUCCUGUUUGCAAAGCCAGGAUUAAGUGCUGUCUCUUCUCUGCCUUCCUAAAACUUUGUACUCUUAUCUCACUUUGUUGUAAUUAAUUAUACAUUUGUCUGUUUCUAUUAUAAAGCUACUUAUUAAAACAAUGGGCUUUGUUCACUUCACCUUUGUAUAUCUAAAGCCAAGAAGAAGUAUACAAUUAAAAAUUAUUGUGAUGUAUUUAUUAUCUAUAUCCACACACAUAUGUAUAUAAAUGACUAAUCAAAUUUUGUUAAGAAUUUUUAUAUCAGUGUUCAUGGGAGACAUUGAUUGAGCUGUAGUAGUUUCCUCUUCUUAUAAUUAAGUUUUCUGGUUUCACAUUAGGGUAAUAUUAAAAAAGAGUUGGUGGAGUUCCCACUGUGGCUCAGUGGUUGAGAACCCAACUAGUAUCCAUGAGGAUGCAGGUUCAGUCCCUGGUCUUACUUAGUGGGUUAAAGAUCUGGCAUUGUCACAAGCUGUGGUGUAGUCACAGAUGUGGCUGGGAUCCUGCAUUCCUGUGACUUUGGCAUAGGCCAGCAGCACUGAUUCAACCCCUAGCCCAGGAAUUCCCAUAUUCUGCAAGUGCAGCCUUAAAAGAAAAGAAAAAGUUAAAAUUUUCAUAUUUUGGGAAGAGUUUUAAUUACACAGUCACACUCUGAAGUAGAAAUAGGGACAUAUUCAUGCCUUCUUCAGUGAGUUUUAGGGUUUGUGUUUUUCAGAAAUUGGCCAAUUUCAUGUAAACUAUCAAAUUUUUUUUUCUUUUUCUUUUUUUAGGGCUGCAUCUAUGCCAUAUGGAAGUUUCCAGGCUAGGGUUUGAAGUGGAGCUGCAGCUGUUAGCCUAUGCCACAGCCACAGCAAUGCCAGAUCCAAGCCUCAUCUGCUACCUACACCAUAGCUUGCAGCAAUGCCAGAUCCUUAACCCACUGAGGGUUAAGGGAUUGAACUUGCAACCUCAUGGAUACUAGUCAGGUUCUUAACCUGCUGAGCCACAAUGGGAACUCAUAAGCUAUCAGAUUUAAGGGCAUAAUGUUGUUUGAAUUUCUGAAUCAUAUGGUAACUCAGCAGUUAACUUUUUAAGGAAAGUGCCAAACAUUUCACAAAUAGCAGCACCAUUUUACAUAUGUAGCAACAAUGUGUGAGGGUUCCACUUUCUGAGCAUCAUAAAUAACACUAAUUACAUUUAUGUAUCUAUGUAUCCUGGUGGCUGUGGAGUGGUAUUUCACUGUGGUUUUCGUCUGUAUUUCUCUAAUGACUGCUCACCACUGUACUAAUCUUGGGCAUCUUUUCAUCUGCUUUUUCUCAUUUGUAUACCUUUGGAGAAAUGUCUAGUCAAGUCUUUUGCUUAUAUUUGUUGAAGUUUUGGUCUUUUAAUGGUUCGGUGAGAGGAGUUAGUUUAUACAUAUUGAACAAAAUAAGUGCAAAAAUUAUACAAAGAAAAUAACAUUUGGUUUUCAUGGAUUGUAGACAAUAUUGUUAAUUCAGAUGGCAAUACUUCCCAAGCUGAUCUAUAGAUUCAGUGUAAGGCUUAUGAAACUUUCAACCACUCUUUUCACAUAAAUGGCAAGCUAAUCGUAAAAUACAUAUGGAAUUGCAAGGGAAUUGAAAAGGACCCAGAAUAGCCAAAAUGCUGAAAAAGAGGAACAAAGUUGCAGGAGUAGUAUUUUCCAAUUCGAAAACUUACUAUAAAGCUACAGUAAUCAAGAGAGGGUGAUACUGGCGUUAACAGUUGACCUACAGAUCAAGGGAACAGAACAAAGAGCCCUAUAGUAGACAUUAAUGAUCAACUGAUUUUUAACAAAGGUACCAAGGUUAUAACUGGAUACCUACAUGCAAAAGAAAAAUUUUAUCACUGUCUCACACCAUAUCAAAAAUCAACUCAAAAGAAAAGAAAGACCUAAAUAUGGGCACUAAAAUGAUAAAUCUCAUAGAGGAAACUGUGGUUCAUAACUCCCUGUAACUUUGAUCAGGCAAUGUUUUCUUAAAGAUGACACCAAAAGCACAAACCACAAAAGAAAAAAAUGGCCUAAUUUGUCUUAAAAUUAAAGCUGUAGUGAUCAAAGGACACAAUGAAGAAAGUGAAAAUACAACCCAAAGAAGCCAAAAAAUAUUUACAAAUCAAGUAUCUAAUAAGGAUUUAAUGUUUUAUUAAGAAGUUAUUGGAAAGUAAACUCUAGGUCGCUGAAGAUUUCAAGACCUUGAAUAUAGUAACGUGGACUCACUCCCUUAUUUUCGACAUAGAAAAGCAGAUUGAUAACAAUGCUGGCUUAAAAAUAGUAGAAUGAUCCAAAAUACACCUCUCAGCCUAAAUUUUUUCUACCAGGGACUCGUGGAUAAUAGAUAUACUAUCAAAAAAUUACCGUAGUGAUUUUUUUCACUUAUUUUUCCCUGAUGGAAUAUUACAUGCAGGAUGGACAUCUAUAUAUUUGGGGGAUUUUUUUGAAGGCUUCUUUUUAUCUGGCAGUAUAUCAAUAAUACUUCUUUCUUAAAAGGCAUUAAACAUAUAAGUAUGUGCAGGAGUGAGCAGAGGGAAAAUCCCAAGAAAACUCAACUCAUUUUUUAAAAUCUCCUUUAAUUUAUUCCAGAGAUCCAGAGGUUUAACAGCUUCCUUCAGCUUGUUCCUCUAAAUACCUCCAGAGGUAUCACAGUGAGCUUUGGAUUCAUGGGCCAUUAUUGCAUUUUAACUCACAAAUAACUCAUGUAGUUAAAACAUUAGCUCUUGUCUUCGUGACUCCAACAUCUGAAAAACCUAUCCUUAAAACAGUCAACAGAGGAAUCUUUCUAAAAGAAAUACCUGAUUACAUAGGUUCUUAGAUUUUAAAAGUACACAAUACAUGUAGGGAUAACUUGACCUUCUUGCUGUACAGU